ACGACCUUGAAGGAAGUUCAGCGGCCUAAACCUCUGGAUUAAGCUCGACCUGGGGGUAGAAAGAGAUUCAACUUUUUUUUUUCUUUAAGAACUAGCAAACAGCCGGAGAGUGGUGGCACAUGCCUUUAAUCCCACUUGGAGGGAGGCAGAUUUCUGAGUUCGAGGCCAGCCUGGUCUACAGAACAGUGGCAUUUCAUCGAGUCCAAAGGGAGCUGACGAUGCAUCAUUAUAUUUAUGAUGGGCCAAAGCCGCGUCACCACACCCAGUUCAUCCAUUCAUUCUUGGGUUGAGUGAGUACCUGAUGGUGCCUAUGCAUGUGCGUGAAGAUCCGUGGACAACCUUCAGGACUCGCUCAUCCUCGGGUGGGUCCUGCAGAUGGAAAUCAGGUUGUCGGGCACAGCAGCAAGCUCCUUUACUGACAGAGACACCUGGCCAGCCCUGAAGCAGGUUCUUUUGUUUGUUUGGUUGGUUUUUUUGUUUUUGUUUUUCCAAUUUUGUGGAAUUUACCAAUUAAAAAUAAAGCCA
rnacentral:lncRNA from 1 species